AUUGAACGCUGGCGGCAGGCCUAACACAUGCAAGUCGAACGAGUGGCGGACGGGUGUGUAAUGUCUGGGAAACGGCCUGAUGGAGGGGGAUAACUACUGGAAACGGUAGCUAAUACCGCAUACCAUCGGAUGUGCCCAGAGGGGAUUGGCUGGUUGGUGGGGUAACGGGGCACCAAGGCGACGAUCCCUAGCUGGUCUGAGAGGAGGACGAGCAACACUGGAACUGAUACACGUUCCAGACUCCUACGGGAGGCAGCAGUGGGAAAGAUUGCACAAUGGGCGCAAGCCUGAUGCAGCCAUGCCGCGUGUAUGAAGAAGGCCUUCGGGUUGUAAAGUACGUUCAGCGGGGAGGCGUUACCCGCAGAAGAAGCACCGGCUAACUCCGUGCCAGCAGCCGCGGUAAUAC
rnacentral:rRNA from 1 species